GUACCUGUAGCUCAACGGAUAGAGCAACUGCCUUCUAAGCAGUAGGUUGUAGGUUCGAUUCCUGCCAGGUACGCCA
rnacentral:tRNA from 1 species